ACGAAGAAACAACCCACAAAGCCCUCUGCUUUUAUACAUCCACGAGCCACAUCCACGAGCCAGUGGGAAGACAAUAGUUUUAGCCGUUAGUUUCUUUCCAUUGUCCAAUUUGAAUAGAGAGAGACUUCCGGUGAAAUUCCUCGUUAAUCCUCACCUGCGUCGGUUUGGUCUUUGCCCUCGAUUUUGGGUGUACCUUUGUUGCAAAAAAUUGCCUCUCGAUUAAUUGUUUUCAAUGCUAGCGGUGAUUUCUAAUCUAAGCCGAGGUCGUGAGAAUCAGACGUGCUCAGGCACGAAAUCAUUUGUCUGCUCGAAUUAAAGAUUGAUGGUCCUCAGCUAUCCUGCAGUGAGAAGCACCUCAAAGAUUUCUCACGGCAAGGCAGACCUACUACGAUCGUGGUUCUGCAAGGCCUCUGCGGGCAUAUGAAUAUUCAGCCCACCCGCACCCUUCAAUGAGAACGUAUUCUGUAUGGACUAUUUUGAAUGUUUCUUUGUGAUCCUACCAGAUCCCAUCAUCUUCACUUCCUUCAGUCGAAAGUCCAUGGCUCUUCCUCUCUUGCUUUCCUCUUCUUUUUCCCAUCAUGUAGCCAGCUGAAAUGGAUGAUAGCAGUUGAAGCAAGGGCAGCAGCCUGCACAAUACACACAAACAGCAACCGUGUUUAGCUUUUCUUUGAAUAUCUGCUGCUGUCCAGAAUUUAUGUUGAUUAGGUGUUGGGGAAGGUGAUCGCAGAGGGGCCUAAAUUCCUAUACCUCGGCGCUCUGCCCGGGUUACACAUCCACCAUAUAGGUAUAGUUUUUCUCAUACUUUGCUUACUGCAACUCUUGACACUAUUUUUGUUCCUCACUCUUAUACCCAAGCAACCAUCCAAGCAUGUUGGCAGCAAGUCAUGCAAGAGGAAAUUCAAGCCCUUCAAGACAAUCACACUUGGGAGAUUGUAACUUGUCCCUCUAGUGUCAAACCGUUUGGUUGUAAAUAGGUGUACUCAGCUAAGUUUCGGUCUGAUAGCUCACUGGAUAGAUAUAAAGCCCGUCUCGUGGCUCUUGGGAAUCAACAGGAGUAUGGUAUUGCUUAUGAAGAGACAUUUGUACCUGUUGCCAAAAUGACUACUGUGAAGACUAUCUUGGCACUUGGUGCGUCGUAAGGGUGGUCUCUCCGGCUGAUGGAUGUGAAAAAUGCUUUUCUACAUAAGGAUAUAAAGGAAGAGAUCUAUAUGUCUCCUCCUCCUUGCAUGUUUGCUACAUCUUCCUCAGAGGUUUAUCGGCUACGCCGAUCCUUGUAUGAAUUGAAACAGACUCUGCGUGCAUAGUUUGAUAAAUUUCACUCUACCCUGCUUACUUUUCA